AUUAGAAAGAAUACCAAUUGCGAAGGCAGCUUUCUGGAUCAUUACUGACACUGAGGAACGAAAGCAUGGGUAGCGAAGAGGAUUAGAUACCCUCGUAGUCCAUGCCGUAAACGAUGUGUGUUAGACGUUGGAAAUUUAUUUUCAGUGUCGCAGUGAAAGCGAUAAACACACCGCCUGGGGAGUACGACCGCAAGGUUAAAACUCAAAUGAAUUGACGGGGACCCGCACAAGUAGUGGAGCAUGUGGUUUAAUUCGAAGAUACGCGCAGAACCUUACCAACACUUGACAUGUUCGUCGCGACUUUAAGAGAUUAAAGUUUUCGGUUCGGCCGGACGAAACACAGGUGCUGCAUGGCUGUCGUCAGCUCGUGUCGUGAGAUGUUGGGUUAAGUCCCGCAACGAGCGCAACCCUCACUUUUAGUUGCCAUCAUUUAGUUGGGCACUCUGAAAGAACUGCCAGUGAUAAGCUGGAGGAAGGUGGGGAUGACGUCAAGUCCUCAUGGCCCUUACGUGUUGGGCUACACACGUGCUACAAUGGUACAUACAACAGGAAGCAAAACGGCGACGUUAAGCAAAUCCUUAAAAUGUACCUCAGUUCGGAUUGCACUCUGCAACUCGAGUGCAUGAAGCUGGAAUUACUAGUAAUCGUGGAUCAGCGUGCCACGGUGAAUGCGUUCCCGGGUCUUGUACACACCGCCCGUCACACCAUGGGAGUUGGUUCUACCUUAAGGCAAGGUUUCAAACCCUUGACCACGGUAUAGUCAGCGACUGGGGUGAAGUCGUAACAAGGUAGCCGUAGGGGAACCUGCGGCUG
rnacentral:rRNA from 1 species